rnacentral:rRNA from 1 species
AUGCGGCUGCCGCCCACGCACGCCAUCUGCCCCUGCAAACCUCCACGUGUCGCCGAUGAGUUCGUCGUUGCCGAUGGGAUCGCCGCAAGGUGUUACAAAAGAAGGUUGAUGAAGAUUAUAUUAUCUAAUCAGCAACUGAUCUGGUACAAUAAAGAAGCAGCAAAUGAGCUAGAAAAAAUCAGUCUGGAGAUGAAUAAAUCCGGCAUCUUGAUGUUUCAUAUCUAUUGGUUCCUUGUUUGGCAGCCUAUGUUGGUAGAUGUGAGAGCUCCAAAUAUGGAAGCAGCCAGCGUGCGAAAGAUUAAAGGAUGCAUUGCUACAGUGAAAACAUUCAGUGGGCGACCAACAACCAGAAUGUCAUUGCUUUUAUCAUGGCAUCCAACACUUGCAGAUGUGACAUAA